UACGUAGGGGGCAAGCGUUGUCCGGAAUCAUUGGGCGUAAAGAGCGUGUAGGCGGCCCGGUAAGUCCGCUGUGAAAGUCCAGGGCUCAACCCUGGGAUGCCGGUGGAUACUGUCGGGCUCGAGUCCGGAAGAGGAGAGUGGAAUUCCUGGUGUAGCGGUGAAAUGCGCAGAUAUCAGGAGGAACACCAAUGGCGAAGGCGGCACUCUGGGACGUGACUGACGCUGAGACGCGAAAGCGUGGGGAGCAAACAGG
rnacentral:rRNA from 1 species